rnacentral:antisense_RNA from 1 species
CGCUCAACGAGUUUUAUGACCUAAAAAACCCCACAGGCUGGUCUGAAGAGGAAGACACUUAAAGAUGAAGUGCUUAAUUCAAGGUCACAGAAUGUCGGGGAUGGACCUCCAGAUUUCCUUACUGGUGAGACGUGGUCUUGUAACACAGUGGUUAAGAAUGUGACUUUGGAGCCAGCCUGCUAGGGGCUGAAUUCUGACUCAGCCAUUUAUUAACUGUGUGACCUUAGGGAGGAGGACCUGGUUGAUAGAAGAAUUUAUCUCAUAGUCUUAACAUCCACUGUAAUUCCGAACUUUGAGGACGAUAGAGAUCAGUGGGCUUUGACUGCCCAGCAUGCAGUCUCCAUUCUUAGGUCAUAGAAUUUUCCACACUCCUUGACGGAGGUUCUUAACCCUUAUCCAUCAGCAUUCUCAGACAGCACCUCCGGUUAGGGACAGUAUCUGACCGUCCGACAUCCCUGCAGCCCCCAUGCUGUCACACAGACUCAGCCUCAGGUAGAUGGUUUCCGUAGAUGGUGGCUUUCUUUGGACCCUUGAUAUCAACCAGUUACUAUUUGGGGACCAGAUGUGCAGAGGUAAUGAAUACCAGGGAAUCA